GAUGUAACGGGGCUCAAACUGGAUACCGAAGCUGCGGAUGUGCACUUAGUGCACGUGGUAGGGGAGCGUUGUGUAAGCCUGUGAAGGUGUGUUGAGAAGCAUGCUGGAGGUAUCACAAGUGCGAAUGCUGACGUGAGUAACGAUAAUGGGAGUGAAAAACUCCCACGCCGAAAGACCAAGGUUUCCUGCGCAACGCUAAUCGGCGCAGGGUGAGUCGGCCCCUAAGGCGAGACCGAAAGGUGUAGUCGAUGGGAAACGGAUUAAUAUUUCCGUACCUUGGAUAGCUGCGAUGGAGAGACGGAGAAGGCUAGGUGAGCCGGGCGACGGUUGUCCCGGUUUAAGCGAGUAGGGAGUGGACUUAGGCAAAUCCGGGUCCACAAUCUCGAGACGCGACGACGACCGCUCUUAGAGCGGGAAGUCAUUGAUGCCAUGCUUCCAGGAAAAUCUUCUAAGCUUCAGGCUAUUCGAGACCGUACCCCAAACCGACACAGGUGGUCAGGUAGAGAAUACCAAGGCGCUUGAGAGAACUCGGGUAAAGGAACUAGGCAAAAUGGUGCCGU
rnacentral:rRNA from 1 species